rnacentral:rRNA from 2 species
ACGGGUGAGUAAUACAUCGGAAUGUACCUUGUAGUGGGGGAUAGCUCGGCGAAAGCCGGAUUAAUACCGCAUACGCUCUGAGGAGGAAAGCGGGGGACCUUCGGGCCUCGCGCUACAAGAGCAGCCGAUGUCAGAUUAGCUAGUUGGUGGGGUAAAAGCUCACCAAGGCGACGAUCUGUAGCUGGUCUGAGAGGACGACCAGCCACACUGGGACUGAGACACGGCCCAGACUCCUACGGGAGGCAGCAGUGGGGAAUUUUGGACAAUGGGCGAAAGCCUGAUCCAGCAAUGCCGCGUGUGUGAAGAAGGCCUUCGGGUUGUAAAGCACUUUUGUCCGGAAAGAAAUCCUCUGGGUUAAUACCUCGGGGGGAUGACGGUACCGGAAGAAUAAGCACCGGCUAACUACGUGCCAGCAGCCGCGGUAAUACGUAGGGUGCAAGCGUUAAUCGGAAUUACUGGGCGUAAAGCGUGCGCAGGCGGUUUUGUAAGACGGAUGUGAAAUCCCCGGGCUUAACCUGGGAACUGCAUUCGUGACUGCAAGGCUAGAGUAUGGCAGAGGGGGGUAGAAUUCCACGUGUAGCA